UGAAUGUAUCAGUGACGUGAUAGGUGAAAGGUUCAAUGAAUGUUGGCAGAGAUCCGCUUUGGAAAAUUGAUCUUCUAUCUUCGAUACAUCGAUUUUAUUUGACUAUAAGAAUAACGGAAAAUCUUGGAAAGAAAUUUCUAUAUAAGCGGUUAAUUAAUUGUUUCAGAUCCCGCUGCGCUGAUGAGGAUUUUGCUCGGAUAGGUUAGGAUCAAUCAAACGACUACUUUUUUUUUCUAAAAACAAUACGUUACGUUUUCGAAUUUCAUCUCGACGAAGAAAAACAGGUAACUUUCUAUAAAAGUUUAUAAAAGAAACGACAAGUUUUUCUACAGGAGAACUAAUUAUUCUUGUUUCAAAUUACACGCAUGCGCGCAACGAGGAUGGAAUAUUCGAGGUUAUAACAAAGAAUAAUGACCGGAAGAUACAUGUACAAUUUAUUCGAACGACUGAAAAAAAAACUAGCUGCCAUGUACCAGAGACAGAACGGUACGGACUGGCACUACACAGAUCUGAACGGAAUCUAUCUGGAAUCGGUUAUCUACCCGGUGCAUGUGUACCUUGCUGUACCUUGCCGUAUAUGCAUAAGUACAAGGACGACGCAUCAAUGUUCAGAGAAGGUACAUAUUUUUCGGGAUUCUACUAGAGGGCAUUAAUCGAACCAUCAGUAAAGAAAAUUGCAUAUCAUAAGGAGCUUGGCAACAAUCUCGUGACGAACAUUGAUUGACGAAAAUGAAAUUCCAAAAGACGUGAGAUAAACAACAAGUAUCUUCGUGGCACGCGCUUCUAAGAUAUUUUAACGUUUCUCGUCACGAAUUGGCAGGAAACGUGUUCUCUGUAAGAAAACAGGUAGUCCUUUAGAGGCAACCAUCAUCAAUUCGGACGUUAUACAUAGGAGAUGAUGACACGUUCCAUUUCGUCAACAUCUUUUUACUUUUUAAUUUCGUAUCGGGUAGAUAAGUUGCGAAUUUUCUCAUCUCCUGUGGCGCGCAUCAUGAUGAACGGAGGUGCGCUGUGUCGGCAACGGGAGAAACGGAGAAAGAUAACGAACCGUACGAGAGUGAGACGCGUCGAGAAAAGAGAGGAACGAAUGAGGGGACAGAGGCGGAGUGCACCGCUCGUACCAGGCGGUGCGCCCUGGUACCAACGGCACGCCGGUAGACUGGUAGACUCGGCCAGACUUAGUUAGUGAGACGCGAUCAGGAGUCGAGGAGGGGAAGAAGCCAGAGAAGUGCACUCGCCUACCUCGCCACAAUCUUUUUUGCACGAUCCUCUCGCGACCUUCUCUAGCCAAACAGGCUCGAUAGGGACUUAUCCUGUCGAGGAAACCUACACUCUUUCAUACCGGGUACACGUUUCUUAGUUAAUCAUUUAUCAUCCAUCUGAUUAUUUUUUUUAGGAAGAUUUCAGAAAUAUGUUAAAGGAAAGGUUUUAAAUGAGGUUUUAAAGAGCAUCUUACGAGCACCGGAUUACAUGCAAUAACAAUUAAUCAAUUGUUUGGAGCAAAUGAGAUUCUAUAAUAUUAUGUUUAUUAGACUGCUAAAGUGGUCAAGCGAAAGCAUUCGUUGUACUAACGUUGCUCUAUCGUAAAUCCCUGAGAAUAUACACAUUCCAUGCUCAUACACCAGGAUCUCAAUUAUUACAAAUCACUUUCACCCAUUGUUCCAUGUGGAUGUGUGUAAUUACACGACUGAUUGCUUUUACUAUGACUCAGCGAUGGUCGUAUUUAUAAGGUGGUCGUGCCAGUGACCAGAAUCUCUCUUAAUCCUUAAUUGCUGACGUAAAAAGUCUUGCUUGACCUCGUUGCAUUUUCUUUUCCUAAUGUGAACGAAUUAGAACCUUACAGAGAAAUGACUGGAUCAGUAACGUAGAAGGAGGAUUGGAAAAUUUUGUUUUCAAGCAAGCAAGCAAGCAAGCAAGCAAGAUGUUAAUUGCAAAAAGACAUGGGACAUAAUUCUAGCUUAAUAGCCCGUAAUUUGUGUCUAGGAUGGAAUCGAAGAAUCUUUGAUGUCAUGUAACGGAUGACCGAUAAAUACAAACCUUGUCCCGAUUCUGUCCAACCAAUCUAGAUUCACUUGACGAAAGAACGAUGACCCGAAAACUUGGUCAUCGAACAUCAAAACGAGGUCAUUGUUACAUAUGUUACAUUACCGGAUGUCAGAAUUAAAAUUAAACACGACCAUGAAAAGCUGCAGGAAAGGUAUAUUGUGGAAGAGGGAAUUGAAAGUGUGCAGAAAGAUUCACACGCGCAACCAAAGAUCCUGGAUAUAAUUAUAGCAAGUGAUUACGUUACUCAUUGAUUAAAUAUCGAAAGGAUAGAAAAUUGCCAACGGGCUGAAGUCGCGUAACAAGUAGCUGGUUGUGCAGAACGCUUAAGAAGCUCCCUUCACCCACGGUAUUAAUCGAGCAUUCGUCUCUCCGUGGCCUUGUAAACACGUACUACAAGUACAGUAGGAUAGACAGCUUGUACUCCUGCGAGGUGUAUCACACAGUCAUCAAGCAUCAUCGGUCGUAAAUUAGAAAGGCAGUGUGAUUCGACGGUGUCGUUAGGGUCGAGGGAAGAAAAGCCAGGAAUCUUAAAUAGAGGCAACACGAGGCCCGGCAUUCGUAUUCUUUCUCGUUGAUAUUCUCCGAUCGUGGCUCGAUGCGCCUUCCUAAAGGUUUUCAGGAUAUAUAUGUAUAUAUAUACACAAGGAUAGUUGAAGGGAUCGUGUUUCUUGAGCUUUAACACCUUCUCAGUUCCAAAAGACCGAUGACUGAGGCUGGUAUCGCGCGACACACAAACAGUGCAGGAGGACAUAGAAACAAAGAAAUAAAGAGCAAGAGAAAGAGAAAGAGAAGGAAGGAAAGAAAGAAAGAAAGAAAGAAAGAAAGAAAGAAAAGUGUAGAGAAGGCAGAAGGAGAACGUAGAAUCGGGGAUGCAUGGUCCCGCUAUCCGGUCGGCCGCUAGGCCGAGGUCAAUGAACCUCGGCCCGCCUACCGACUUUACCUGCCAGCCUCGAACCUGCCAACCUGGCUAACUUGCUCGACUCCGAAGGUACUAAUCACUAUAUUUCGUCUAAGAAAUAUAGCUUUACUAGAAAACAUUUUAAUUGUGAAUUGCGCCAACUAAUAUUUAACAUUAAUAACAACCUUUUUUUAGUAGGAACCAUCGUUUGAAAUAUACAUGCGCGCGCAUCCAACUAGGCGCUGAAAAUCUGCGCAUUCUUUAAUUUUAAAUCUUGAUGGAAAUAGGUUGUGUUAUUAAACAACUACUUUUAUAAAAUUUAAUUUUUCAAAUUUUCAGAGUGACACGCGUGACACGAGAAGAUUUAUUGUAUAAAGCGAAUGGUUCAACGGCUACUAAAAUAGCAACGAAGACUGUACUCUCGAUUUUAUACGAUAAUACAUUGAAGACAAGCUGCCACGUGAAGCGAAGAUAAUAAGAUAAUCGUAUCCCUAUGAAUUCUCCGGAAACCGUUGAACUUGAUCUACAGUAAUAUGUAUAGCGAACCUUUCACGAGUUCAGAGAAGUCCAUCGACCUUGAACCGGAGAACUAGAGAAAAAAAAUCAUUAGAAUAAACACGAUCGUGUUACUGUUUUUUACGUAUAUUCCACGCGUAUAACUUCUUUGUCAGAGAUAAUUCUUUCUGCCAUUUUAACUAAAUCGUAACCGACUUUUUUUAAGAAUUAGAAAUUGAAUAAUUUGUAUUAUAUGUAUAUGUAUGUUGACAUAAUAACGGUUACUAUUACGUUUAUUAACCAACUAUCUAUUGUUUACCGAUACUUAACAAUCACUGCCGGCAAUAACGGUUUUUACGAGCCGUAUGUGUAAACUCGUCAAAGAGAAAUGAGUUAAUACUUGGUUUUUAACAUCGGUCAAGCUUCCAUUCAGCUGUUUCAUUUCAUUAAUGUUUUACAUAGGUAUGUAUAUGUUUUCAGAAUCACUGAUCUAAUGGAUUGAUCACACUGAUCUAAUAACGCUUCAAGACACAUAAAAUUUAUCCAAGAUGAUUGAUAUUUGAAACGAAGGGUGCACCGUGGAGAUUUCGAUGAAACAAUUCGAUCCAGCUAGGUUAUUAUCGCGAUCACGAGUAUCGAGGCUGUGGUAGAUCCUCCUGUACGGUGCAUGUGCAGUUAUUAGUACGAGAAAAAGAAGUGGCACGAAUCAGUCGGUCGAUGAAACCCAAGAACCUUGUACUCAACAGUUGCCUGACUUUAUGGAUGAUCACGUGUUAUUGGCUAAGAAAUUAGAAAAACUAUAAAGAAGGAGGCACCGCAGAAAUGCCAUCAAUCCCUGAUGUACAUAAGGUGUAAUUGUGCCAACUCGUUUCUCAGGCACGGAAAGGUACGGCUCUUGUAACUCGUGUCAAAAUACAAUACGGUGAUCGCAUGAAACGGUGUCAGAUUACGCAGAUCCGUAGCUGCAUGGAUACACCCUUAGGUCCUUUUUUUCUAUUUUCACAAUUUAGGUGAUUCAGGUAACUUUAUUAUUCCAAUGUAUGUACAAGAUUACGGUAAUAGGUUGUUACGGUAAAUAAAGGGCGUUAAGAAGUUAAUAUCAUAGAUUCGUUUGCUGCAUUCUGUAAAAUUAAUUAUUCGCUAAUUAGUCCAGCUAAUUAGCAAAGAAAAGAAAAAAACCCCUACUUCAUCGAAGCUCAAGAGCAAAAUGACUGGCCUUCUCUGAUUGUACAUUUGUGUAUUAAUGUAAGUAUGUACAACAGAUGAACAGAUUUUUUUUUUUAAAUCUUCGAGUUAAAAGAACAGAGAAAUAACAAUACAAGCAAACGGAUAAUUUAUAAUAUGCUAUAAAUCUUGUUAAAAAUUUCAUAAUUCUCUUGUUAAUUAUAUAUUACUUCCUCCUUUUAAUUAUCAACUCGUAAAGCUUGAUUUUCGGUUGACCCCGGAAUUAUCUUUUCUUCUGAAGUGACGUUUAGCAGCCUUUCGAGGCUGGAGCAUUUAAAUCCUUGACUGACAAUGAGACUUUAAAUACGUAAAUACAUACAUGUAUCUUAAUUUCUAUUUACGCGAUAAGAACGUUGUCCUAAAUUACAAUUUUAUCGAUAAAAUUAAGUAGGAAAUAAAAAACAAUUAAUAAUACCCGAAGAAGAUUGUAAGAAUACUGAUACAUUUUUUUUUCUUUUUAAGGCUAGCCAAAUGGUAACGCAGAGGUAAAAGGAAUUUUUCUAAAAUUCUAUCCGGAAUGUGGAAGAAGGCCAGGGAAUGGGAAUCAUCGAGAAUUCGGAGCAUUCUGUUGAUCGUGUUUACUACAAGUUCGAAAAACCGGUUUUCCUCUCUCCAUAAAACUUGGACCUGUGGAUGGCGCAUUAGACGCUUCGCGUUACGGUAGCUCUCUCCAUGCAUGGUUAAAAAAAGGAAAGAAUUCUCUGGGAAUGAAGAAGAAUUUUCCAUCGUUUCGUUUCGUUUCGUUUCGUUUCGUUUCGUUUUGUUUUCAAAAUAUCUCGAUCAGCUUACACAGAAACUAAUACAUAUAUACAUACAAUAUGUACACUUGUAUACUACAAGUGAAACCGGUUUCGUAAAAAUUGCGCGUGUUUGUCUGUAUUUAUUCGGUUUGCCGCCACAACCGUUCGAAGUGUUAGCUGCGUCUCCCUCGAACGGAUUAGCGAAUGAGAAAACGCGUGAAAACGACGAAGAAUCCUAUUACAAUGUCGUCCUGUAUCGCGGUUUCAUUCGAAACUAUAACACGUUUUUCACGGAUAUUAAACACGAGUAAUUUCCCCGUUUGAUUAGAUAUAAUUCGAAGAACGGAAUAUUUGAUCAGAGAAAUGAGAGCCUGUUGUAUAAAUAUUUGUUCAUUCAACGUAUGAUACACGUUUGCAUUUUCUCGCAUCUUUCUUGCCUGAUAAGAUGGCGCAACAGGCAAAUGAAGUAUCUUCGUUUCUUUUUUAUUUGCCCCACCGACGCAAUAAACGUAUGGAAAUAAUGUGAAACGCAUUUAAAUUGCGACAUAACAAAGGAAUAUGAAUUAUAAGAACUUUGUUUCAUUUCCAUUACGGUACAUGUAAUGGAUACAAGAUUGGAACUGACACGGUAAACAGAUUUCACUUCCGUCAGCCGAGUCAAAAUCUCCCUGUAUGUACCCAUAGUAUGACGGUUCAAUUAUUCAGGUAACUGCAUUGUAUGCGCGCAGAAAGAUAAACGGUAAUUCGUUCACUGCUAAAUUUAACUUCCUGUACCCGGAAAGGUCAACACUACAUUUCACAGAAGUUCACCUUCGAACCUCGAGGAAAUUUAUACACCUCCAGUCUGCUGAGUUUCAACUUUUAGUAGCUAUUAGGGAUUAGGAUGUCUAGUUACAUAAAAGUCGGGCGACACAGCAUGGAUAUAACGGUAAAUUCAAGUUAAUUCGUUAACUGCAUUCCCAUGCGAGGUGGGAUUUUUGAAAAGUCGGACGUUCGACGAAAAGCACGCGAUAAGUCGCACACCUAGCGGGAAGCAGAGAAAGCAGCAGCCAGCAGAUGAAAAAGCGAUCACGAUCUGAACGUCUAUCAGGAAAUUUGAUCUACAAGAGGAAAAUCAGUCGAUACUGAUAUCUUUUAAAAAGAGUAACAGAGGUAAUUUUCCACACGUGGAAAAAGAAAUGUAACCCUAAAAGUACAUUCAAGGGAAGAGGAAAAGAAAUUCAAUUGUCUGUAUAGUUCACGAAAGCAAACAAAUUUCUAUUCAUCCGAUGGAACAAA